CUACGGGUUGCUCCAGUGGGGAAUAUUGCACAAUGGAGGAAACUCUGAUGCAGCAACGCCGCGUGGAGGAUGACACUUUUCGGAGCGUAAACUCCUUUUAUAUAGGAAGAAGAUGACGGUACUAUAUGAAUAAGCGCCGGCUAACUCCGUGCCAGCAGCCGCGGUAAUAGGGAGGGCGCAAGCGUUACUCGGAAUCACUGGGCGUAAAGAGCGUGUAGGCGGAUUAAAAAGUCAGAAGUGAAAUCCUAUAGCUUAACUAUAGAACUGCUUCUGAAACUCUUAAUCUAGAACAUGGGAGAGGUAGAUGGAAUUUCUGGUGUAGGGGUAAAAUCCGUAGAGAUCAGAAGGAAUACCGAUUGCGAAGGCGAUCUACUAGAACAUUAUUGACGCUGAGACGCGAAAGCGUGGGGAGCAAACAGGAUUAGAUACCCCGGUAGUC
rnacentral:rRNA from 1 species